CGAUGGUUUAGUAUUUUGCAAGAAGAGAUACCGAAUCAUAUUGAAAGGUUUAGUGUUAGUGUACAUAGCCAAUCAAAAAAUAGAAAUAGGAGAAACAUCUGUUCAAAGACCUGAAAGAAUGCCGCUCCAAAUGCUUCAAAAAUGUCAAAAAAGUACUAAGCAAAUUGCUACAAAGAAGAAAAAAAAAUGAACUCUAUUGUAUAUACUACCUUACUCUACAAGUCUUUAUGUAUUUCAUAGUAUUGUUAAUUAUUUUUUUUUUCCUUUAGAAGAGUAAACUCAAUGUAUUGAAUAAAGUUGAUAGAUUAGAACAGCGUUACUAUAAAAUGUAAUUAUAUUUCACAAUUUGGUAUAUUAGACACUGUGAUGGUCCCAAAAUGGUUGAUUUCAAAGUGUAUAAGCUGAAUGAAGAAUGUAGACAACAGGAUUUGCUUUAUUAAAAUAAAUA